rnacentral:rRNA from 1 species
GACGAACGCUGGCGGCGUGCCUAAUACAUGCAAGUCGAACGCACUCUCGUUUAGAUUGAAGGGGCUUGCUCCUGAUUGAUAAACAUUUGAGUGAGUGGCGGACGGGUGACGUAACACGUGGGUAACCUGCCCUAAAGUGGGGGAUAACAUUUGGAAACAGAUGCUAAUACCGCAUAAAACCUAACACCGCAUGGUGUAGGGUUGAAAGAUGGUUUCGGCUAUCACUUUAGGAUGGACCCGCGGUGCAUUAGUUAGUUGGUGAGGUAAAGGCUCACCAAGACCGUGAUGCAUAGCCGACCUGAGAGGGUAAUCGGCCACACUGGGACUGAGACACGGCCCAGUACUCCUACGGGAGGCAGCAGUAGGGAAUCUUCCCAACAAUGGACGAAAGUCUGAUGGAGCAACGCCGCGUGAGUGAAGAAGGUUUCGG